AAUUGAGUGAAAGCGAGAAGGCAUGU
rnacentral:sRNA from 1 species